rnacentral:misc_RNA from 1 species
GCAAACUUGGUCAUUUAGAGGAAGUAAAAGUCGUAACAAGGUUUCCGUAGGUGAACCUGCGGAAGGAUCAUUAUGGGAUCCCGCGCCCCGGUGCGACCCCCCACCCUUGUGUUCUCUCCAUGUUGCUUCGGCGGGCCGCGGUACCCCGCCCCCGGGCCCUCCCGGGGCGUGCCCGCCGAAGGACCCUUUAAAACACGAUUGCAAACCGGCGGUCGGAAGUCAGCGAAAAUCAAUCAAAACUUUCAACAACGGAUCUCUUGGUUCUGGCAUCGAUGAAGAACGCAGC